UGUCUGUACCAUGUAGGACUCAUUUCAGCC
rnacentral:piRNA from 1 species